GAUGAACGCUGGCGGCGUGCCUAAUACAUGCAAGUCGAGCGAACAGACGAGGAGCUUGCUCCUCUGACGUUAGCGGCGGACGGGUGAGUAACACGUGGAUAACCUACCUAUAAGACUGGGAUAACUUCGGGAAACCGGAGCUAAUACCGGAUAAUAUAUUGAACCGCAUGGUUCAAUAGUGAAAGACGGUUUUGCUGUCACUUAUAGAUGGAUCCGCGCCGCAUUAGCUAGUUGGUAAGGUAACGGCUUACCAAGGCAACGAUGCGUAGCCGACCUGAGAGGAUGAUCGGCCACACUGGAACUGAGACACGGUCCAGACUCCUACGGGAGGCAGCAGUAGGGAAUCUUCCGCAAUGGGCGAAAGCCUGACGGAGCAACGCCGCGUGAGUGAUGAAGGUCUUCGGAUCGUAAAACUCUGUUAUUAGGGAAGAACAAAUGUGGAAUUAACUAUGCACGUCUUGACGGUACCUGAUCAGAAAGCCACGGCUAACUACGUG
rnacentral:rRNA from 1 species